CGGGACGGGUGAGUAAUGUCUGGGAAACUGCCUGAUGGGGGGGGAUAACUGCUGGAAACGGUAGCUAAUACCGCAUAACGUCGCAAGACCAAAGAGGGGGACCUUCGGGCCUCUUGCCGUCGGAUGUGCCCAGAUGGGAUUAGCUAGUAGGUGGGGUAACGGCUCACCUAGGCGACGAUCCCUAGCUGGUCUGAGAGGAUGACCAGCCACACUGGAACUGAGACACGGUCCAG
rnacentral:rRNA from 1 species